CAACUGAAUAGAGUAGAAACAUAUUAAGUGUGGUGUUUCAGAAGAAUUUGCCUGAGAGUAGUCUUGGUGGGCAGAUGGGUCAGGAUUGUUGAGAACAUUGGAAGGUGUGAGAAGCCCUGUGGGGACAGUGAGGCUACAGAGGACAAAAGGCAAGAAUUAGAGAAAGAUGUCCAUAGACCCAGUCACUAGUAGACCUGGAUUGGCUAUUAAAAUAGUAGGUAAAUCUUUUACUCUCCAUGUGAUUCCUUCCUUUUCAUCUUAGACAAACUGGCUGCAAUCUCUUGGGUUGUUAAGAGAAUCAAACAGAAGCUCCUGCCCACUUGGAAACUUCAUCUGACCCAACAGAGCAGGAGAAAGACCUGGGGAGCCUGCUCAUGGGUCUGGUUUACCGCUGUAUAACUAGGGGCCAGCACAUGUUUGAACAAAGGAGAUGCUCACUUCUAGAGAGCUCCUGUAUUCCUUGAGUAUUAUCUUUCUUCCAUCUUCAAAGACAGCAAUGGUGGGUUCAGUCAUUCUUACCGUAAAUCACUUACAUCGUCUUCAUUCUUAACAUCUCUUUCUCUGACUUUCCUGUCACUCUCUCUUAUAAUAAUCCUGUGUUUAUACUGGGUCAACCUAGGUAAUCCAGGAUAAUCUCCUCAUAUCAAGAUUCUUACCUUAAUCAUAGCUUCAAAGUCAUUUUUCCAGUUGAGAUAAGAUAUUGAGAGUAUCUGGCAUUUAAAACAUGUUAAGUAGGCUAUUAUUCUGCCCAACAUAUUAUGAAAUGAUUCAGUAGUAAAAGGAACCAUCAGUACAAUAACCUGGAUCAAUCCUCAGAGAAGUAUGCUGAGUAGAAAAAGCCAAUCCCAAAGAUAGUAUUCUAUAUGAUUCUUUUUCUACAAUGAUCUUGAAUUAACAAAAUUAUAAAAAUGGGUGACCCAUUAGUUGUUGUCAGGGAUUGAAUAGGGAAUGAGAAGAAAAUGCGUGUAGCUAUAAAAUGGCAAGAUGAAACACCAUUGUGGUGGUGGAAAUGUUAUAUAUUUUGAUGGUACCACUGUCAACAUUCUGAAUGUAAUAUCAUACUACAGUUUUACACAAUGUUUUCAUUUGGAGAAAAUGAGUAAGGGAUACGGGGGACCUCUUUAAAAUUAUUUAUUAUUGCACAUGAAUCUAUAAUUGUUACAAAAUAAUAAGUUUAACAUAAAAAUGUUUAUCUCAGACAUGUUAUGAAAAUCAAUAAAUUAGGAAAUGAGAUGCUUCACAGUCCAUCUUAAUCAUUACCUAAGCACCCAGAAAAAACACUCCUGAAUUGCUCCUUCUGAGAGCUCAUGGUCUAUUCAGCAACUUGGAAAUAUACUGUCUAUGCUAAAGUGCUUGUUUCUUUCCAGGCAUCCACUUCAUCAAGGCGCUACUAAAAAUUUCAUUUAGGGAAUCAGAAGAGUGGUCUGUAUUGGAAAAAAAAUUAAGCAGUCAGCUUGAGGGAAUCUAGGUCCCUUGUCUACAGUCUGCAGUAACAAGUUGUGAGCAGAUGAUUCACAAAAUUUAUUCCUAUUGAGUAAAUAGGAGUUAUAUGUAAAAACAACAGGGUUCAGUAGUGAUAUCAUUUAUUUUGAAUUUUGGCUAGGAUCAAUGCAGUAGGUUCUUUCUCUUUCUUUCCUUCUUUCUUUCUCUCUCUUUCUUUCUUUCUUUCUUUUGAUUUUGUAUUCUAUGA